UGGUAGAGUGGGCCAGUGUCAACAAGGUACAGACAUUAUAGAUGGAUUAUUAACCUCCUGUGAGGGAGCAAAAAGAAAAACUCUCCUCCUCUGUCAUUCUGCAAUCCCAGAGAUAAGGUCAGAAUGUUGAGCAGCAGUUCCAGCAGGGGGAGAGAAGUCAGAAGUCAGCAGGGUUCAACGUGCAGUGAGGCUGUGUGUGAGUUAUCACUCUCUCGCCCUUCAGGGUUGGCUGCUGCCCCACCUCCUGUGAAGAGCCUUCCCCUGGCACCAGCCCAGUCAGACAUGACGGCUUCUGACUCUGAUCCCCUGUCAGUCACUUUCCAGCAUCUUUCUGAAUUUACCACUUCAUGAUGAAGCAUACUUCUUUCAACGAAGCAUCUGGCAGGGGAAUUGAGGACAGUAGGUCUGAGGGCAGCGGAGAAGGAGGUGCUACUUGUGUGCCCUGGAGAAGCAAUAUCUUGAAGAGGACGGCCUUUGGAGCCAGACUGCCUGGGUCUGAAAUUGGCUCUGCCAGUAGGAUCUCAUCACAGAUGCCACGUUACACUUGGUCAUCAUGGCUCCCUCGGCUUCCUUCAACUGUGACGGUUUCUCAGACUUUUCUUGCUUUAGAUGACCUUGACAGUUUUGAGGAGCACCGGUCA